rnacentral:rRNA from 1 species
UGGGGAAUAUUGGACAAUGGGCGAAAGCCUGAUCCAGCCAUGCCGCGUGUGUGAAGAAGGUCUUCGGAUUGUAAAGCACUUUAAGUUGGGAGGAAGGGCAUUAACCUAAUACGUUAGUGUUUUGACGUUACCGACAGAAUAAGCACCGGCUAACUCUGUGCCAGCAGCCGCGGUAAUACAGAGGGUGCAAGCGUUAAUCGGAAUUACUGGGCGUAAAGCGCGCGUAGGUGGUUUGUUAAGUUGGAUGUGAAAUCCCCGGGCUCAACCUGGGAACUGCAUUCAAAACUGACUGACUAGAGUAUGGUAGAGGGUGGUGGAAUUUCCUGUGUAGCGGUGAAAUGCGUAGAUAUAGGAAGGAACACCAGUGGCGAAGGCGACCACCUGGACUAAUUCUGACACUGAGGUGCGAAAGCGUGGGGAGCAAACA